GCAUAGAGUGCAUACACCAGCAGCAGAAAAGAGCCCCAGGUAGCACAAAGGUGAUCGAGGCGUUUUCGCGACCUGUCAGCAUCUUCAAGGACAGCAACAACUCACCCUUCAAGUGCCUGAGCGCUACACGAACUACGCUUCGACCCUCAAGCAAAGGAAGCAACCUACAUUUGGCACCUGAGAGAUGACCAUGGCAGAGUGAAGCAAAAUGUAAGCUUCGACGUUGAGAAAGGAAAGGAAAUUGACCAGGUCACCUUCUACGUCGACGAUGAUCGAUCUCACCCUUUUACUGCAUACUGCAACUACACCGACUACCAGAACUGCAUAGUCGUCACUAUUCCUUACAGUGGGCACAAUCAUUGCAUGAUGUGGCUGCAACGUAGGGUCGCCCACAACGUGCCACAAAACUGCUUGGACAAGUAUGAAGAAAAGUGUGGCGUCAAGAUACCAACGUUCGACAGCGACCUCUGCAAGGAUGACUAAUAAAAUAGCAUUUGACAGUCACCGAACUGAGCUCGCACUAACCACUUGGAUCAAAAAGCUCAAGGUGAUAAAACACCGAGAUAUCGGACACUGUCAAUCUACCGGUGAAAUGUAACCAAUUAGAGUCAUUGCGAUUAAAGUUUACACAAUUUUUGCUUUCAGCUUCAU